GUAAGAGAUUAGAAGCAAAUCCCUUCUCUCUUGCCGGUCGUGGGCAAAGCCCUGCGGCCGGCCUCCCCAGCGCCCCUAACCCUAGCCGUCGCCCUCAAACCCGCGCAGCCCCCACCCUACAAACAGUACCCGCGGGUACUAUAGCACUACAACGCACCAUAACAAUCUGGUAUCGGAGAUUCGGAGAUGCCAGGUUCCAACGACGUGUCGCCAGGAUCAACACCACCCACCACCUCCACCGUCGCCACAUCUAUUGAUGCGACGGCUGCCGCCACUGGUCCAAUCUCCCAAGCAGACUUCGUGGCAUUCCAGCAGCUAAUGGUGCAGCAGUUCGCCGCCAUCAACGGCAUGUCCAGUAGGACACCGCCACCACCGCCGCCUCCAGCUUCUGCCACCAGUGCUGCUGCUUUCCCCUAUGGCAUGAUGGGCUAUGGUGGCAUAGCCCCCCUUCCCACCAUCAUCACGCCAUCCACUACCACCACAACACCCCUUCCAUCGCCGAUCUCCACCUUGGUGCCACCGACGUCAACCAUGCCCGUACUCAACCAUCAGAUCGCCUUCCCACACUCCCCAUCCCCGAUCCCGUCGUUCACUGAUCCCAUACCUGUGCCGUCACAACAACACUGUGAUGGUGUUUUCUACGGGGACAUGGAUGUCAUCCAUGCAUCGACGGCGCAGCUACAGGCGGCGGCACGCUGCCUCCUAGCGCACCGGCAAGGACAGCACCCCAUCUUCAAGCGUCGACACCCAGUCGUCCUAGCAACCUUGCAGCAGCUCGUGGAG
rnacentral:misc_RNA from 1 species